CACGAACCGGACAAACGUUAUUCGGAAUUAUUGGGCUUAAAGGGUGCGUAGGCGGUGCUGUAAGUCGGGUGUGAAAGCCCACGGCUCAACCGUGGAACUGCGCCCGAUACUGCAGUGCUAGAGGGAGACAGAGGUAAGCGGAACUGAUGGUGGAGCGGUGAAAUGCGUUGAGAUCAUCAGGAACACCAGUGGCGAAAGCGGCUUACUGGGUCUCUGCUGACGCUGAGGCACGAAAGAUAGGGUAGCGAACGGG
rnacentral:rRNA from 1 species